rnacentral:rRNA from 1 species
UACGGGGGGGGCAAGCGUUGUUCGGAAUUACUGGGCGUAAAGGGUUCGUAGGUGGCCAACUAAGUCAGACGUGAAAUCCCUCAGCUCAACUGGGGAACUGCGUCUGAUACUGGUCGGCUUGAGUGCAGGAGAGGAACGCGGAAUUCCAGGUGUAGCGGUGAAAUGCGUAGAUAUCUGGAGGAACCCCGGUGGCGAAGGCGGCGUUCUGGACUGCAACUGACACUGAGGAACGAAAGCCAGGGGAGCAAACGGG